rnacentral:lncRNA from 1 species
UAAAGACCCCCAAAAUCCAAAUAGAAUCUUCUCUUAAUAAAAAGAGUAUUAAACCCAAAAAAACCAAAAUUAAAAAAUUAAAAAAGCACAUUUCCUUUUGCAUCACGAGAGCUUUUUGUCUCUGUUUACAUUUGUGUGCCUAUAUAUAUGCUGUGUAUAUAUAAGCCUAGAGAAUCCGCCAUAAUCGGAAUACAUACUCCAAGUCUUUUAGUGAUCUCAAC